GGACGGGUGGCCGAGUGGUUUAAGGCGCACGCCUGGAAAGUGUGUGUACGUUGAUAGCGUACCGAGGGUUCGAAUCCCUCCCCGUCCG
rnacentral:tRNA from 1 species